rnacentral:rRNA from 1 species
AACGAACGCUGGCGGCAGGCUUAACACAUGCAAGUCGAACGGGUGUCGCAAGACAUCAGUGGCAGACGGGUGAGUAACACGUGGGAACCUUCCUAGGGGUACGGAACAACUCAGGGAAACUUGAGCUAAUACCGUAUACGUCCGUAAGGAGAAAGAUUCAUCGCCCCUAGACGGGCCCGCGUCGGAUUAGGUAGUUGGUGGGGUAACGGCCUACCAAGCCUACGAUCCGUAGCUGAUCUGAGAGGANGAUCAGCCACACUGGGACUGAGACACGGCCCAGACUCCUACGGGAGGCAGCAGUGGGGAAUCUUGGACAAUGGGCGCAAGCCUGAUCCAGCCAUGCCGCGUGAGUGAAGAAGGCCUUAGGGUUGUAAAGCUCUUUUACCAGGGACGAUAAUGACGGUACCUGGAGAAUAAGCCCCGGCAAACUUCGUGCCAGCAGCCGCGGUAAU